rnacentral:rRNA from 1 species
UACGUAGGGGGCAAGCGUUGUCCGGAAUCAUUGGGCGUAAAGAGCGUGUAGGCGGUUCGGUAAGUCGGCUGUGAAAGUCCAGGGCUCAACCCUGGGAUGCCGGUCGAUACUGCCGGACUAGAGUUCGGAAGAGGCGAGUGGAAUUCCCGGUGUAGCGGUGAAAUGCGCAGAUAUCGGGAGGAACACCAAUGGCGAAGGCAGCUCGCUGGGACGUUACUGACGCUGAGACGCGAAAGCGUGGGGAGCGAACAGG